rnacentral:rRNA from 1 species
GACGAACGCUGGCGGUGUGCCUAACACAUGCCAGUCGAACGGAAAGGCCCUGCUUUUGUGGGGUUCUCGAGUGCCGAACGGGUGAGUAACACGUGAGCAACCUGCCCUUGACUUUGGGAUAACUUCAGGAAACUGGGGCUAAUAUCGGAUAGCAUCCCCUGUUGCAUGGUGGGGGUUGGAAAGUCUCGGCGGUUGGGGCUGGACUCGCGGCUUACCAGCUUGUUGGUUGGGUAGUGGCAUACCAAGGCUUUGACGGGUAGCCGGCCUGUGAGGGUGACCGGCCACAUUGGGACUGAGAUACGGCGCAGACUCCUACGGGAGGCAGCAGUGGGGAAUAUUGCACAGUGAGCGGAAGCCUGAUGCGGCAGCGCCGCGUGCGGAAUGACGGCCUUCGGGUUGUGAAACGCUUUCGCCUGUGACGAAGCGUGAGUGACGGUAAUGAGUAAAGAAGCACCGGCUAACUACGUG